rnacentral:rRNA from 1 species
UACGGGGGGGGCAAGCGUUGUUCGGAAUCACUGGGCGUAAAGGGCUCGUAGGCGGCCAACUAAGUCAGACGUGAAAUCCCCAGGCUCAACCUGGGAACUGCGUCUGAUACUGGAUGGCUUGAAUCCGGGAGAGGGAUGCAGAAUUCCAGGUGUAGCGGUGAAAUGCGUAGAUAUCUGGAGGAAUACCGGUGGCGAAGGCGGCAUCCUGGACCGGCAUUGACGCUGAGGAGCGAAAGCCAGGGGAGCAAACGGG